UGGACCAGGAGAAGAAAGCAGAAGCCUC
rnacentral:piRNA from 1 species